UACGGAGGGUGCAAGCGUUAUCCGGAUUCACUGGGUUUAAAGGGUAUGUAGGCGGAUUUUUAAGUCAGUGGUGAAAUCUCCGGGCUCAACCCGGAAACUGCCAUUGAUACUAUUAGUCUUGAAUUCUGUUGAGGUGGGCGGAAUACAUCAUGUAGCGGUGAAAUGCUUAGAUAUGAUGUAGAACACCGAUUGCGAAGGCAGCUCACUAAGCAGACAUUGACGCUGAGGCACGAAAGCGUGGGGAUCAAACAGG
rnacentral:rRNA from 1 species